rnacentral:rRNA from 1 species
UAGGGAAUAUUCCACAAUGAGCGAGAGCUUGAUGGAGCGACACAGCGUGCACGAUGAAGGCCCUCGGGUUGUAAAGUGCUGUUGCAAGGGAAGAACAGUUAGUUGAGGAAAUGCUUCUAAUCUGACGGUACCUUGUUAGAAAGCGAUGGCUAACUAUGUGCCAGCAGCCGCGGUAAUACAUAGGUCGCAAGCGUUAUCCGGAAUUAUUGGGCGUAAAGCGUUCGUAGGCUGUUUAUUAAGUCUGGAGUCAAAUCCCAGGGCUCAACCCUGGCUCGCUUUGGAUACUGGUAAACUAGAGUUAGAUGGAGGUAAGCGGAAUUCCAUGUGGAGCGGUGAAAUGCGUAGAUAUAUGGAAGAACACCAAAGGCGAAGGCAGCUUACUGGGUCUAUACUGACGCUGAGGGACGAAAGCGUGGGGAGCAAACAGGAUUAGAUACCCUGGUAGUCCAUGCCGUAAACGGUGGGCGCUAGGUGUGGGGGUUUUAUUUACGAUUCCCGUGCCGUAGCUAACGCAUUAAGCGCCCCGCCUGGGGAGUACGGCCGCAAGGCUA